CUUUCUAACCCACAUUUGCUUACAACCCCAUAUCUUAGAAAGCGAUGUGUAUGUGUGUGUGUGUGUCCACACUAUUUCUCUUUGGCCAUUCAACCUUGCUGAACAUAAAUGCCUGACACUAAAUUUGAUUUCAUUUUCCACAGUAAGAAAACAUUCUUCUUUUUUUAAGAAACAUAUAUACUUGGCUUUUAACACUGGUUUAGGAUAUUCAGUUUGCCGCUGCUAGGGAGAUUAAUCGGUGAGAGAAAACCUCACUUUGUGUUCAGACAGUUAAGCAAGGCUUCCUUUUCUUUCUGUCUUUCUCACUGUGUUUUCUUUCUUCCUCUGUCUUUCUUUCACACCGAUUUCUGAGCUGCCCAUUUUAUUCCUGAAUUAUGUGGAAUUAUCUGUUUCACUCUUCUACACAAUGUGUGCGUGUCUGGAGGCAUAUAUCUGCAUGCAUAUGCACGCUUAAAUAGCACUCAAAUACAAGUUUGUGGGCUGUGGUAAGUUAUGUAGAUAGGGAUAAACCCGCGCACCUAUGCCCACUUACACACAUACAUUUAUAUACAUGUAGUAACAGUAAACAUGGAUAGCUCUAGGCAUCUUUCAAAGAGAAUCGGCUAAACACACACCAGUAAAUGCUGAAGGGAAAGCAGGCAGUGACAAGCAAGCAAAAGAGGCUGAACACAGAACUUCAUCAGAAAGCCUCUAUCUUGAUGGAGAAAACAAAGGAUUUUUUUUAAAGCCCAGCCAGGCUGCCGUGGUUGAAGAGAUGCAGUGUGAAAUCGCAGGUCGUGUUUAGAUGACUCCCACAGUCAGCGCUGCCCGCACCUUGCCGUCACCCACCCAGCUCUCGAAAAGAGGGUCUCCUCGGGGCAUGGCGCAGAGAUCCCAAGCCUGUCCCUGGCAGGGGGAAGCGGGAGGGUAACGGGACAGAGAAGGGCCCUGCUGUGUGGCGGCUCAUGUCGAGGCCCCUCCCUGGGACGGACGGAGACGGCCGAGCCUGCUCACCGCACGGCCGCCCUCCGCUAUCUCUCCCUGCUGAUCGGUGUGGCUCUGCCUUUCCCCCCGCAUUCCUCACGUUUUAUUCUUUAAUACUCAAUGCUCCGGCCCUUGCAGGCAGCCAGCCCCCCUCCAGACCGCUUCUGCUACAUUUUUCCUAAUACUUAACUAUGAUCAAUGUGUCCUUUCAAAAUGCUGCGUUUUCCCUUCACGCUCUUUUCCUUGUAUUUAAAUGUCCUUUACUCUUUUCCCCCUCUGACCAAACACCUUUUUUUUUUCUUGCAUCCCUACUAUUUUUUAAGGACUUUCAGGUGAGACCAUGUUUCACUUUUGCAAACCCAUUUCCCCAAGAGCCUCAUGACUUUACCUAGAGCUGCCAUCCAAAUGGCAUCCAACACACAGAGGACAUUCCAGAUGCAGCCUCCUUUCUCCUUACCCCUCCCUCUUUUUCCCCGCUGUUUGAAGCCUUUUGCAAGCGAGGUUCCCUCCCGAGAGCCCCGGGCGCCCGCGGGUCGCGGAGCGGGCAAUGCCCGCGGGCGUGGGAGGCGCACAGGCCUUCCGUCCAGCCCCGGCGGGAGGAGACGCGGCUGCCGAGCCGAGGCGGCGGCAGCGGGCAGUCUCUGGCAGCUUCUGACCCCGCGAAGGCCACGGAAAGCGGGGCCGGGGCGGCCCCGGCGCCGGGCGCGGCUGCGUCCCGCGGGGUAACACCGCCACCCAGGGGCGGCAGCCGGUGGCGCCGGCGGGGGUGGCCGGGCCGGGGCGAGGCUCUGGGCGGCUGCGGGGAGUCGUGGGGUCCGAGGGCGGCGGGGCGAGAGUGGGGUGCUCCACGUUCCCACCGGGUUGUGAUGGGAUCAGAAACGGCGGUUCCCGAGCGCAGGCCUGUGCCCUCCGUCCCGGACCCUCGCCGCAGCCGCUGGCUUGAACGGCGCAAAAUCUGGGUGUUCGCCGUGAACUGCUUUCCUUUCCCUUGCACGUACCCCACAUCCGCGCACAAACCCGGGCGUGGGGCUGAGUCCAGCGUGGCGGGGCACCCUUUCUCUUGCUGUAAAGCUGUGCUGCUGCGUGGGCAGGAAUUAGGCCUUUGCUGAGCCAGGGAGAUAAGAAAGAGAGGCUCAGCAACACAGCUGUUAGUUGCUAUGUGGCUUCUCUACAUAUCACUUACACCUGUUUGGGUUUGUUGGUUUUUUUUCUUUUUCUUACAAAAGCCAUCGAAGUAGGGCAGAUCUUCGUGUCCUCAAUGACUGUGUGCUAACCAUCGGACCAGUACUACUUGCUUCUUUGAACUAGUCCAAGACGUCUGUUCUUUCUGAGAGACUACCAAAUGCACUCUCUGCCUCUGGAGCUUUUCUUGAGAAUCUGGAUAUCCUUCAGUGGGUUUCUGAUGCCAAGCCCUGUUCUCAGUCAUCUGGUCUUGGAGCUUUGAUUCAGCAGAAGGGCAUGAAACUUAUUUGAUGAGAGCGAGCGGGUAAAUUACAUGCUACUUAUGCUUUUUUGGCAUACACCUGGCAAGAUGUCCAGCACAGUGCUCAUUAACGGAAACAGAAAGUUUGGACCGAGGUCAAGGUUUGAAUCUGGUUAUCUAAAUCUGGUAAUAGCUAAAAUUUUCAUUGCUGCUUUUAGUUGUUCUCUCACUCGCUAUUACACAAAACAGCAUUUGUCUACACCUUUGGUAGACACCUCCCUUCUCCAUUUUCUGUUCCCUCUUCUUUUGUCUCUUUUACAUCUCAUUACGUGGAAGAUGUUCUGCUUCUCAGGGUAUCUGUCCUCCUGUAAUUUCUAAGCCUGAUCACAUUUUGUCUCUUUAACAGACACCAAAUUAGAUUAAUAAGUAACAUAGGAGUCCCUAGUCAGUUGCUUCAUGUAUUUCAUAUUUUCAGGUUAAUCCUGGUUUGAAAAUUUUUGUUUACCUUUUGUUUCAUCAAAGCUGAAAGCCAUUGUUCGAGCCACAGAAAUGUGUAAUUAGAUACAUUACACAUCUGGGGUACCAGCAUGAAAUGGCAUUAAGAGACUUUCUCACUAACUCCUCCUUUGCUAAGUGGAUAUUUACUGGCUUUGUUGCACUGCAUUGCACUAAAUACAAUUUUAGAUCUUCUUUCCUGUUCUUCACAAACUGGCUUCUUACUCCAUUGGCUAUGUUAGUCUGAAAGAUUCUCUGCAGAAGAAGGUUCAGUGGUUAAAAUGAAAUGUGAGUCACUAAUAUCAUAUAGCUGAAAAAAAGUUAAAUAAUAUGAAUAAACUACCGUGUCAUAUGUACAUGGCCCAUGUGAACUAAUUAUUUUACUCUUUGAAGCAGUAGGAAGCUCAGACUGAGGAAUGAACUGUGUCUUCUGGGCAGCAUACUUCAAGAAGGAUAUAUAUUAACUGAAGGUCACCCAGAGGUGAAAAACAGAAAGAUGUGCAGGAGACAUGAUCCAUGAAGAACAGUCAAAUCAGCUGUGUGUGUUUAUUUUACAGAAAUAUGGACUGAGCAGAGAGAGAAUAAUAGUAUUCAAAUGUGAAAAAAUACGUUGGAAAGAUGGCAAGGUAAGAAAUUGUGGUCUACAGACACAGGGGAAAAAUGGAUUUGAGCAGCAUUUAGACAAAAUUAGGCUAAGAAGCAGGAAAAGUCUUCCCAAGAUUUAAGAUAAGGUUCAGUAAACAUCUACACAGAUUGUUUAGUAGUACAAGUUCCUACUGGAGGCUAAAAGCAACAAGGUCCCUUUUAGCUACAAUGCCUGUGAUUCAGUGACUUUGCUUUCAGUCACUGUGAUGUAAAAAUUCUGUUUUCCAUAAUGGUGAGAGACAAAAAUAAGCCUUUCUGACCUAGUCAGAAAGAGUUUUGGAAAGCAUCUGUCUUGACCAAAGGAGAUGUAGUUUGUAUCCAGGAAUUCAGAGGAACACCCAAAGCAGUUGUGUCUAGGGUGUAUUUCAUGAAGGGACACAUUUCACCCAAAUUCUACAUUAACAAGCAUUACUACUGGUUCUCACACACAAACAAACAAACAAACAAACAAAAACAAAUCAACCAACCAAACGAAAAAUCUAAUGAGUCUCUGCACGUUUCUAAUUAGAUCAGCAAUUCAGAGACUUAGGGUUUCAAACUUUAGGUUUUGAAACUCUGUGAAAAACUCUGAUUCCCUCCUUCACGUAAUGUAUUAGGGUGAGACAACCUCAUUAAACUCAGGCCUGCUGUUUGCCUAAGGUAGCCCUACCAAGGCAGCCCAAAUGAAUGCAAUCCUAAUACUGAGUUCAGCAAGGUUUAUACUGGAAUCACGAUAAAACAAAUUUAGCCCUGUGAUUUAAUCUGUAAUCAGUACAAUCUUCUAUUUUAGUUUUUGUGGUAUUUAAAGAGGACUCCCUCCUCUUCUCUUUUUUUCUAGAAGGCAUUGCAGGUUUCUAAGUCAACAACUGUUAUACCUAUGAUGCCACAAAGGAAAAUCAGGACUCGGGAGUUAUUUUUGUUGUGGUUUACGUGCUCCAGUCAUAUUUUCUAAUCCUAUUCUCAGAAAUGUCCAGGUUCUUUUUUUCUAAAACAACUUUUCGGUUAUCUUUUUGAAACAGUGAGUACAAAAGAUACUAUGGUGGUUUAAAAUUACACGUACAUCUUAAAAUAAUAUUUUCAAAAGCUAGGUGUCUGAAUAGUUUUAUGACAUCUGAAUUAUAUAUUCAGCUUUUUUUUUUCUGCCUAUAGUGUGUUUAUAGCAUUAAAGAGAAGCGAUACAUUGUUAAGGACUCUAUAGGAGAGAGUCUUUUUUCCUAACUGAUUUUCUAUUGUAACUUUACAUUAUCUGUUGCAAAAAUUACUUUUGGCUUCUACAAGUUGCAAACCAAUGAGCAUUGAUAAUCAGUCUGCAAAGACUAAAGCCAUGCCUAGCCUAUGUAUUUGGCCUGAUGUUUUGCCCCAGUGAAAUGGCAUGACUGUAGAUCUCAAAGAUGACUUAGAAAUUAUUAUUUGCAUCAGAGGAACAAACCUUGAAAUCUCGCUAAGACAAAGAGUAUCUUUGUCUUGGUUCAAUACAGAGAGACACACAAGGUGUUUGUCACAGGAGCAGCAUCCCAGUGUAGGCCACAGUACCAAAUUAUGGGAUGAGAUUAUAGACAGAGAGCAUGACACUCUCUACCAGUCCUUAGGGGUGAUUGCUUCAUUGCAGAAAUAUGAGAGAAACAUUCUUACUCUUUAAUCACAAACCAGAAAACUCUAUCAGGCGCUACCUAGAAGCCUUUCUGCCACCGUAGCUGUCCCCUCAUUCCCUGCUACGUGUAGCUAGAUUGGGAGUCUAGAGUUGUAGGUCCUUUUGAUGCCUUUUUCAGGCAACCCUCAUCAGAGGUACUUUUCAUUGUAAGAAGCUGAGGCAUCUUGGUAAGAAUCACCAAAAGUAUACAGUGGGAAUACUCAGUAUAAAGGAAGUGGUAGAAAUACUGAGGGGGAAGCAUUAGUGAUAAACAAAAUGAUACAGUGGUGCUCUUCUCCAAUUGAGUCAGAUGUCAACACCUGAAGCUCUAAAGUAUAGUGAGGUUUCCACCUACUCUGCCCCAUCUCUGUCCGUACAUGCCCUGGUCCCAUUCCCAGACAGUGAUUGAGAAUUUACUCAUUUCUAGUUUGAGCUGCGUGGAGAUUACUCACUUCCCAUUGGCUUGACCACAAUAUGGAUGAGUUUACCCCUUUUUUAAUUUAUCAAUACAUCACCGAUGAUACAGCUUAAUCAUGUGAAUCCUGCUUAGCAGUUCAUCUUAUUGGUUUCAAAGGUAUUACUCAUAAUCUCCCAGAUAAAUCAUUAAAUGCGUUUUUGUCAUCACAAGGAACACACGCCUCUGUGGGAUUGCCACCAGACCAGUAAAUAAUCACUGCAUUUAAGCAUACAAAAAUCACUAAUUGCAAAUAACCAUAUAAAAACCUGCCUUUUUUUUUUUUUAAUUUCUGAUUUCUCCACUACAUUUCCCAGAAAUCUCAGGUGUAGAAUCAAAGUGCACACCUGUCUUGUGCUUUAACAGCUCCAGCUGUCUGGUGUAAUUGCCUGUUAGGGAAACACCCUGAAAGGCAAACAGUAAGUGAAGAAAACCAUAUAAUGGCAACUUUUUAACCUCUAUUUUAAGAAAAUAUCAAACAGAUUUCAGAACCAGUAAGAAACUUUAUAACAGCAGCCAUAUGUUUUGGUCAUAUUUUAUAUCUUGCAAGGGAGCUUUCAAACUUCAUUCUUUCCUAAGACUAAUUCAUUAAAGGACUUGAUAACUAUCUCUGCAUAAAAAUGCAGGACUUGAAAGGCUUUAUUAAUACUGAAAUUAUUAGCUUUUAAAAUUGUAUACUGCCAAUGAUUUUGGGAUAAAUCUGUGUGAAUGGGUGCUCUCCUAUUUGGAAUUAAAGUAUUGUCUCUCAAUUUUGUGUAUGUUGUUUUUGAAACUGACUCUGAUGAUCCAUGUUUAUAUCCACUUGACAGGACUUCAUUGCCAGAUUUCAAAAGCUAACCGCGUGCCUUACAAUGCUUGUUAUUUUUAAAUAAGAGAUGAGAUGAGAACCUCUGGAUUUUUUUUUUGCAUAAAUGUGACAUGCCAAAAAAAACUCCUAAAUGUGAAUUUUAUUUUCCCUCCUCCCACAAACUGUUGCCUUCUAAGAAAAGAAAACUCUUCUAAAAUUGCCAUUUUAAAAAUUAUCCUGAUUUUUAACGUAAAUCUAAUAAUGGAAGUGAGGGGAGGCAUUAGGGAAGCUUCCAGGCAUUAGUUUUGAAAGCACAGGACUGAUGAUACUAAAGCUGCCAAUCUAAAUGUAAGAACACUGGUUUGUUUAGCUUCCUGUCUCUUCCACCCAGCCAUCAUCAAGGACCAUCUACUGGACUGCAUUUCAUUUAAAGCUACAGUAAAAACAGUGUUGAGAUCUAUGUCCAUUAAUUAGCCUACUUCUUAAGAGUUUGACCCAUUGCUACUCCCUUAAAUCUAACAAAACCUGUCCCAUUAAAGAGGUUUUCAGGCGAAGACAAGGCCUAGUGAGUAGUUUUAUAAAGCUGUGCCCAGGCAAAUUUACUAUGCCCACUCUUGGGUCUGCUUUGCAAUAUAUCUGCCCCUUUUAUACUGAUAUUUUAAUCUUUGCCUCUGUGUAUCAGGUUUUGACUAACCUGGCUAUGUUGUCGCACUGCAGUUCUAUGAUAUAAUUGUACUGGAUAUGUUAACUUAGUUACACAGAAAUUGCCAGACUUUGGAAACAGUCUAGCAAGGUUUGCCACUCUUCCCUUUACAGUUUUCAACGAUUCAUCAAAUAAUAUUGUUUGUGUCAUGUCUUCCCUCAGGUAACUGAAUUAUAAUGAUCACUUAUCUACAAAUCUUUCCUACAUUUUCUUUCUAUUACAAUAAGCCUCUCUUUCAUCAGGAUUAUUAGCAAAAGCUGCAGGAUAUUUUAUCUGGCUGCAAUUCAGCUUCAUGUGGGGGUGCUCACAUGCACCCUGCGGUAUUUUGUGCAGUUAUAAGCAAUUUAUUAGAUGUUUAAAAGUGCAUAAUUUAGUUUUCAGAUUUAACUCUUUGCUUGAAUCCAGUGUCUGAUUCAUCUCAGUACAAAAAUUCUGUUGAGACGAGGGUCUAAAUCUUAAGCGAUGUUGACUGCCUCUACUCUUUCAUCACCUUCAUUGGAGCUGAAGGUUCUCAGCAUUUUUUUGGAUGCGGCUCUAACAUAGCUUACAUGCUUUAUAAAAGACGUUAAGAAAACUUUUUCCAAACUAAGCGCAGGCUUACCAAGCAAGGGCCUGAAAGGGCAGUAAGUUCCCCCUUAUGCCUUCCUGGUGUGACAUCUGCACUCCUGCAUGAUCUGAAACCAUAGUGUGUUUGCCAUAGCCCCUGUAUUCCCACUCCCUCCUCCCCCUCCAGUGUGCUCCCUGAAGGCUGCAAGGAAGCAUGGAAAACAACUCUUGUAAGACACUGGGCUGGCAGAUGCUGGGCUCCUGUGGUGCCAUCCACAAUGACAAAACACAUAAAGCAUGGGGCACAAAUCAGUUACUAAAUGUCUUAAGCAAACAAAGUCUCCAUGACCCUGCCUUAGUACAAAGUCUUUGAUUCCUUGUGGCUUCUAUAAUCAACUCAUCUUUCUGCUUUUUUAAAAGAAGUGAGGAAAUAAGUAUAUAAGUGCUUGUACCUGUGCACCCAUACCUGUGCCUCCAGAAAAGUGAAGAAUUGGGGCAUCUUUGGAGAAAUUAUAGCCAGUUCCUGUAGGACAGACAGGUUUCACACCAAGGUACAAAUUAAAUUCUUCACUCCUCUUUGAGUGCAGACAAGGACUCCUUCUACAUGUUCCUACAAGGGUUAGCAAACUGGAGACUAACUUCAUUACCUUAACGUGACACUAUUAUAUAAACAUUAAUAAUAAAUGCUAUUUGUGCUAGCAGGAAAUGGUAAGGCAAUAUAAUCUGUCCAUGGAGAUUUUUUAUAUAAAGAAGAGUACCUGUAAAACAGCUAUAUUAACUCAUAGAGUCCUAAACAAAGAAAAUGCAUCAAUAUAAAGGUAAUGUAAUUCACACCAGGAAAUGUUUUUAUAUGGUCUCUGUCUAUAUGACAAUGCACGUAAGCCAAUGAUAAUUCUUCCUUUUUUUUAAUGGUUGUCUAUUGUGUGGUCUAGCUAGAGAAUAAAGGCAGUCAAGACUCUGGAAAUCCUGACUACCGUACUGUCUCUUGGUUCCUCCAUUAACCUAUUAGACAUCCUCUUCCUCCUCCCCAAGCUGGCAUGACAACACAGAAUUGCUGAUUCCCAACCUUACAUGAUUAGUCCCCAACAUCCUUUCAGAUCCAGAUUAGAUCCCCAAAAUCUAGUACCAGUCUGUGAGAUGUUCCUCACCACAUCACAUUGUGUCUGCAGGGUCUCUGGAUGCAGGAGAGUUUUAUGCUGAGUAAAUUAUUCCCUCUAAAGUGAUAGAAAUCUUUACUCACAGAAUCAUUACGGGCUCAUUUGUGUGCAUGCCACAGCUAAUAUGGUCUUUUUGCUUUUUAACUGGUAUAACAGGGAUCUUUCAUACAACAAUUGAUUGUUACACUAUUGUCUACCAAGUCUCCAUGAGCCAUAAACUGAGAACCUAUUUAUUACUUUUACCAAACACAGGCUAUUGGCUAAAAGUCUCUUUAUUAUAGUUUUCACUCCGUUUUUAUUUCUUUUAGAAAGACAUAACUUGGUUUGAUUCUAAAGGCAAUGUCCCACUUUGUCUAUGGACAAUGUCAGCAGACCAUAAAGUCAGCAUCUGAAGAGGACCUUGCCUGUCGUGCCUGCAAUCUGAGGCCUGGUUCCAGACCCUGCAUCCCUGAUUCCAGUUCCAGUUUGCUGCGGGCUCCAGCCCAGGACUUCUGGAUGCCUGCCCUGGAACCGUGCCAGCUCCACCAGAGCAGCUCUGCACUGCCUGGGAAAUUCAAGAUUGGUUUUGUAUAUUUUGUAUUAUUUUCUCUAUUCAUUAGUAGCAUUAGUAAAGCAUUUUUAACCUUUUCCGUCUUGCAAGUCUCUCUCUUUUUUCCUCCUAUUACUUUUCCUUAGUGGGGGGUGGGAUGGGGAGGAGGUUAACAGAGCACAUCUGCCACAGUUUAUUGUCACCCUGCAGUAAAGAGUGGCACUGUCUUUCCUAAGACAACUGAAUUUUCCAGAGACACUGGAACAGAAUUUCUAGAGUGGUGGUCGAUGCCACAUGCCUGUCAGUGUUUAAGAGGCAUUUGGAUGAUGUCCUUAAUGAUGUGCUUUAACUUCUGGUCAGGCAGUUGAACUGGGUGGUUGUUGUAGGUUCCUUUAAACCAAAAGAUUCUAGUCUAGUCUAGUCUAGUCUAGUUUAGUCUAGUCUAGUCUAUGCUAUGCUAUGCUAUGCUAUGCUAUGCUAUGCUAUGCUAUGCUAUUCCCAGUAUGCAGUCUAUAUGAAAAAAAUACUUUCCUUUUCCAGUCACUCACACAAAAUGGAAGAGUAGAUUGAGUCAGAUUCAAUUCAACCAAGACAAUGGUGAUACUGAUAUGUAGAUAUAUCUAAGAGGACACAAUUCAGGAUGAUAAAGGCAUACUGUCGAUGCAGAAACAAUUUUCACACAGUGUUUGUUGCACUAAGCACAAAACAAGUUAUAUUAAACAAGUUUCCUUGAACCUUAACUUAUACAGAGAAUCCCUUGUUUUACUCAGGGCUCAACUCCAAAUCACUACUUUAAGAGUAAACCAUUACUCAGAGCUAAGAACAUGAGAAUAGACAAACAGUGUCAAAACACACUCAGGUUUAUGCACUAUUCUGGGUUUUGGUGGUGUUGCUGGUUUUUUGUUGUUGUUUGGGUUUUGGUGGGUUUUUUUCACAUUUGAUCAUGAUACAUUGAAUAACAAAUUUACACAUACACAGAAUUCUUGUGGCACAAGACAAAUCUUCAGCUAUGUAGACCUCAAGUACUCAUUUAAAGGAGCUCACUUGUAUUUCUUUUGAUAGGUAUACAACUUUCCAUUUCUCUUUCUCCAGUUGUUAUUGUUUUACCACUCUCUAUGUCCUGCAUCUGGGUUUACUACUGACCACACAAACCAAAUUUAAUAUCCUCUGUUUGGAUUCCUACCAAACCACAAGACCAUAUAAUUUUUUUCUAUUUUUUCAUUAUGUAGUUAUCAAUCUCAUAAGAACAAGCCAAACUCUUUCUGUGGUACUGCACUAAUGUAACUGAAAACUCAGAUUUAGCCCUUAGAAGUUGAAACUUGGUUUCUUCUGUUGAUACAAAUUACACUUUUCCCAUAGACUUCCUCCUUCUCCCACUAUUGUUCUAUGUUACAGCAGAAUAUUAUUCUAAUUCAAUAAUUUUUCAACCAAUCUAAUACAGCCCAAAAGUGGAUUAGCCAGCAGGCAGUGGUAGACUGCACAUCCAUCAGUUAACAGCUACAAAAUCACUGGAUAAUUAAAUCCAGAGAGAGAUCCAGAAAGGGAAGGAAAAAUUCAUUUGUCUCCUACUUCUCCAUCUGUUGCUGUUCACUCCAUACAACUGAAGAUCAGCUCCUUGGCCUUUCUUCUUCCAGCCACCCAAAUCUGGAAGUGGCUUCCACCCCUGGGGCAGCAGAAACAAUGCUUUGAGAAACUGAAUGUAACAUAAGGGAGAAGAGGAGAUGUCUGAUCCCCCCACCCCUUUUUGUCCCUAGGCAGCCAGUUUCUUCACCAAUACCACAGUAUCUACAAAGGACUUUGCCCCAUGAUGGCUAUGUUGAUGUAACUACAGCACAGCAUGCAACCCUAUGGCUUGCGAGUCCUGGGUGUGGGCAUUCUGUAAACUGUCCUAAAAGCAGAACAAUAUAUCAUACCUUAUUUUUACAGUGAAGUAAAUAGAAUGUCCUAAUUCCAUUAUUAAGUGCUAAUGGUUUUCUCCUUUGUGUGCAUUUUUAUGAUGGGCUUUUUUCUUCUUCAUGUUUCGUCACGUUUUGACAAAAUAAGGGGGUGAAUCAGAUCUUUUUAUGAGCUUAAUUCCUCUCUUUCUUUCUCCCCUCCUUUCCUGUCUCAAGUAAAUGUCACCAGAAGAUGCAAGCAUGCAGGUUCUCUAGUCAUGAUUUCUUUUAAUCAUGUUCCUUUUCUAAGCAGUUUUUCCUCAGAUUGCAGAAGUCAUCUUCAGAACAAAGAAUGAGCUUGAACUUGGAUGUUCUGUUGAUCACAGGAAGUCUUCCUUCAAGCUGGCUGAAAAACACUGCCAAGACUAAUGCUAAUCCUGAUUAUUAUGAGCACUACUAUUUCUGUUCUUUGAGGUGGCUAUUUACUAUUUGUAAAUAGUAAAUGUGUAUUUACUAUACCUUUCUGUAACAUUUUAUACAGAAUUAAUUGCAUUAUGAUGUUCAUCUAACUGGAUGGGACUGGUGUAGACUUUUCCCCUGCUGUAGUGGUAUCCCCCAUGCUGUCUUUUCCCGCUAGCAUUGUCAGAACUGCCACACUGUAAAUGCUGCUUAAUCACCAGUCUUGUCAGUGAGUUAAAAAGACAAAACUUCAAUGAAAGUAGGGGGUCCAUUUCUCCUUUUGAGUAUCUGCCAGCAGAUUAGUUGGUGGGGGAAAGGUGGUUAGGGCUUGAGUUUUCUGUUUCCUGCUGUAAGGAGUGGCUGUUGAGGGAGGCUUGAGGAAGCCGCUUUGGUAGGAAGAAGCUAAAAGAUUUUGUUAGUUGCCGUAUGUGCAUGAGACAGAUGCUGUAGCAUAUUUUUGUCAGUCUGAAAUGAAAUAGCUUUUCUAAUGGCGCGGAUCCCUCCCUGCUGCCCAGAGGCAAACAAUUGGAGUGGGAAUUCCGGAUGGGGGGGAAGAUGAAAAAGCCACAAGGCCGCCAAAGGACUCGGGCUGCCCAUUCCACAGACCUCUAGCUCUUGUUCUAACACCUUAAAAUAAUCCUCUGGCAUUUAAAAUAAACCUGAUUUUCUUCUCCUCGGAGCAUGCAUAAAGUAACGUUACUCCUUAACUCUUCAGAUCCAGCUCUUUUGACAGAGGCAUACAACAACUCACUUUCUCCAACUCCAAAAAGGUGUUUUGUAGGGUAUGGCUUUAUUUCUUUAACUGAUUGAAGCGACCCAUGUUUAAGCAGUACCCAAAUCAGGCCAAUCCAGACAUCCCGAGUUUAUAAC